GAUGAACGCUGGCGGCGUGCCUAAUACAUGAAAGUCGAGCGAACAGACGAGGAGCUUGCUCCUCUGACGUUAGCGGCGGACGGGUGAGUAACACGUGGAUAACCUACCUAUAAGACUGGGUUAACUUCGGGAAACCGGAGCUAAUACCGGAUAAUAUAUUGAACCGCAUGGUUCAAUAGUGAAAGACGGUUUUGCUGUCACUUAUAGAUUGAUCCGCGCCGCAUUAGCUAGUUGGUAAGGUAACGGCUUACCAAGGCAACGAUGCGUCGCCGACCUGAUCGUGUGAUAGGCCAAACUGUAACUGAGAUAAGUUCCAUACUCAUACGGCAUGCAGCAUUAGGGAAUCUUACGCCAUUGGCGAAAGCUUGACGGAGCAACGCCGCGUGAGUGAUGAAGGUCUUCGGAUCGGAAUACUCUGUUAUUAGGGAAGAACAAAUGUGUAAUUAACGAUGCACGUCUUGACGGUACCUAAUCAGAAAGCUACGGCUAACUACGUG
rnacentral:rRNA from 1 species